CUUUAAUUAGUUUAAUUUGAACAGAGCACAUUUUCUGCAUCAAGGAAGUGAGUUGGCAACUCAUGUACAAAGUUAUCUUUGAGAAAAAAUUCAAAAAAAAAAAAUUUGAGAAGUCAAAAAACUUUUUCAACUUUUUAAAGUGAAAUUUAAAUCGUAUUUUUCUGUGACUGAAAAUUUAUGUUGAAUACUGCCACAUAACAAGUAAGUGCACUAUUUCACUUAAGCUUACUGUAUAUCAGUUUGAAAGUUUCUUGAAAUAAUUAGUUGUUUUUCAUUUUUCAGUACACACAAUGACGCGAAUUCAAAUUCGAUCAACAGAUUGUGAAAAACACAGUGAGCUGUUGUUAAAGAAGCAAAUCAUCAAACUGUGAAAGGCGAAGAGGCGCAUGUCAAGAUUGCUGAAGGAUUCAAAAUUCCAAAAAUUCUGCGGCUCAAGUUUUUGGACCAAAUUCUAAAAAUGAGGAGGCAUUUUGUAGCCAAAGGAUGGGGCUAUAUGUACAACAAGAUAUUUACAGGGGUUCAAAGUUGAAAUGGACAGUCACACAUCUUCGAGAUAUUUGGACAAAAAUUCACCAGAUUUAGGUCUUGGAGUAUUAAAAAAUGAUCCGAUAUUUUCAGGAUCUUCAUUUUCAGGAUCUUGUAUCACUACAGCAUAAGAAUAAGAAUAUUUCUGUACACAACGCGAUCUAUUAUGAAAUCGCUUCUCCAUGAACCUACAAGGUUGAUCUACAACCUCAUCUUUACAUGAAAUCUCGUGAAAUUGUUGUUGUUUCUUUCCUUCUCGGAACAACGUUACAUAAUUUCCUUCAGUAUUUAUACCACCUAUUGGAGCUGUUAAUACAUGGUCUUCUGGACAACAGCCCACCCCCUCGAACUCUUCGCCACCUUCAAUUAAAAGCAGUUCUUCAACCUGGCGUGCAUUUAGCCAAGAAUGAUUGUCAUAAGGAUACUUCAAUGUAGUUGGUUCCACUUUCGUUGUGUUGUCUAAAGGAGGUGUUCCUGUGACCAGUCCUGCUACUGUUGUAUUGUCUGAAGGAUAUGUUCCUGUGACUGGGCCUGCUACUGUUGUAUUGUCUGAAGGAUAUGUUCCUGUGACUGGGCCUGCUACCGUUGUAUUGGCUGAAGGAUAUGUCCCUGUAACUGGCCCUGCUACCGUUGUAUUGUUAUCAGGAUAUUUUGCCGUAAUUGGUGCCACUGUUGUUGCAUUCUCUACGGGAUAUUUAGCAAUUGCUGACCCUUCUGCAUUGUCUACAGAAUAUUUCACUGAUGCUGGAUCUAUUGUUGUAUUGUCAAACGGAUAUCUUACUGAUAUUGGCCAUGGUGUUACGUCAUCUAUAGGAUAUUCUAUUACAACUGGCCCGCGUACUCUUGCACUUCCAUUGGUAAAGUUUGUAAAUAUGUCGUCAUCUCUAAAAUUUUAUGGAUAAAAAAUAAAAUAAUGUUAACAAUGUAAA